rnacentral:tRNA from 1 species
GCUCUGGUGGCACAAUGGUUAAGCACUCGGCUGCUAACUGAAAGGUCAGUGGUUCAAACCCACCCGGCAGCU